CACGUACUCCCUCUGUCCGAAAAUACUUGUCAGAGAAAUGAAUGUAUCUAGAUGGAUUUUAGUCUAGAUACAUCCAAUUUUUAUCCAUUUCUUCGACGAGUAUUUCUGAACGGAGGAGGGAGUAGUAU
rnacentral:pre_miRNA from 1 species